GCAAAUUGAAAGGUCCAGCGGUCUGUGCUGCGCUGAGCGCUGCGCUGCUUGCCUGUUCCUGGACUUCCCUGCCACAGCCUCCCCUGUACCGGACCACGUGAGUGGGGUCCAUGCAGACAGGCUUCGGGGCCCCAUCCGGUUGCGCUCAGCCGGACGGAUGGCCUUUCCCGGGAAGCGAGGGGUGGGGGCGGCCCGUGGUGUCUGCCUACUGGUACCCGCUCCACCUCUGGGGAUCUAGGAUCUUAGGGUGGGAGAGGGAUGGUCUGAGGCGCGCCAGACCCUGCAGUGGCCCUGGGGGCGGCUGGCCAAGCACCCGCGAGCGAGCGAGCGAGCGGAGCUCCUGGUGCAGGAAAGUAUGGACCGGUGGAGUGGGCUCACCUGGCCUGGGAGUGCGGUUUGGCCUACUGAGGGAGGGUCCUCUUGUUUUUCUGCAAAAGCUGACCGGCCGGUUUUAUGCUCAAACUCCCAGUUUCCAAAUGUUGACAAGUACAUUGUUUCCUUAACUUUGCGCAGAUCACAGGAACUCCUGGAACCGGCUUCUGGGCCGACCUGCCAGUCCCUGUGAGACUGGAUGGAGCGGUGACAUCACUACUACCUGUCCUGGGACCGUCUCUUGAGGAUGCUUUGUGCCUCCCUCCCAGGCACAGUUUCAUGUUAUUUUGCCUGGAGCUGGCAGAGUCUCAUGGAGGUGCCUCCGGGCACCACCACUGCUGAUUCACAGAAUGGUCAAUCCUGGGAAUAAAGCAUUCCGAUAGUAGUAAAUUUUCAGGCCUGAAAAAAGGAUAGCUCAUGGAGUUCUCCUGUGGCACACCAGGUCAAGGAUCCGGUGUCGUCACUGCAGCCGCCAAGGUCACUGCUGUGACAUGGGUUUGAUCGCGGGGCCUAAAAAGCAAAAUAAAAUAAAGUGCAUUGAUUCUCAAAUAUCUAAACAACAGCAGCUGCUGUUUCAGUUUCCAAGCUCUCUUUCUUUAUUUUUCAAAAAUUUGGGGGUAAACAGAAUUUGCUUUAGAUAUUGCUGCUUUCCCUUUCUCUUUUCACAUCCUGUAGUUAACUUGGCACUCUGGGGAUCCAAGGAUUACUGCAGUUUAUGGAAGAAGCUUCUGAACCUGUCCACGUGGGGAAGUAUAAAGGUCAGGCAGUAGCUGUGGAUACAUAUUGCUGGCUUCACAAAGGAGCUGUGAAGGAUGGGAUCCUGCAUUGCUGUGGCUGUGGUGUAGGCCGGCAGCUGCAGCUCCAGUUCACCCCCUAGCCUGGGAACCUCCAUAUGCCGUGGGUGCCGCCCUAAAAAAAAAACCAAGAAACAAAAAACACUUUUCCAUUGAGGAAGCAAAAUGCUCCCGCGGGUCAGUUUUUUGUAAGAAGUAGCACCACCUCCCACCUUGCCCCAGUCAUGGUUUGUUUAAAAAAAAAAAAAAAAUUCUGUGCCUAGUUAAUACAGUGUAUCUUUGCAUAACCAUCUUCCUUGCAGAGGCUAGAUUCCUAAAACUAGAAUUGCUGAGGGGAGGAGAAUAAACCUUUACAACGACAUAUUACCCACUUGCCCACCAGAGCACAUCCACCUCCGCUCCGCUGCAGUGCCUGUGCCCACCCACUAGGCACCAUCUGCCAGCCCUGGGGGCGCUUUUAAGGAGGAAUCCCUGUGAAAGUGGGUUUGCAUUUUCUGAUAAAAGGGAACAGAUAAGGAAUCUACGUGUAUUUUCAUUUAAUCACUACUCCAAAACAACUCCUCCUGAUGUCCUAAUGUAUCUUUUUGAAUUAGUGUUUUCGUUGGAUACAUUGCCAAGAGUGGAAUCGCUGGAUCACAUGGUGUUCUAUUUUUAGUUGUUUGAGAACCCGCCAUCCUGUUUUCCACCCCAGCUGCACCCACUCACAUUCCUACCAACAGUGUACCAGGGUUCCCUUUUCCCUGCAUCCUUGUCAGCACUUGUUACUUGUGGUCCUUUUGAUGAUGGCCGUUCUGACAGGUGCAAGGGGAUACACUCAUCGUCGUUUUGCUUUUUAUGUCUCUGAUGUUUAACGAUGUUGAGCAUCUUCUCACAGGCCUGGCGGCUCUCUGUGUGUCUUCUUUGGGAAGAUGUCUACUCAGGUCUUCUGACCACUUUGUAAUCGGGUUGUUUGUGCGUGUCAUGUUGUUUAAGUCUCUUUCAGUCUGGAGAUUGUCCCUCUCUCUUUUUCUUGAGGAAACCGCAUUAUUUUCUCCUGUGGUUUUCCCAUGUCUUGACCUUGGCCGAUGGUCUCUGGCAGGUCCCUUCCUCCCCUGCGUAUGCUGUAAUCUGGUAGUUCUGUGUAGACGCUUGGUUUGGUUUAGGUUUGGUGUUUUGGCAAGACUGCUUCAUUCACGGUGGCAUUGCCUUCCACCCAGAGGCUCGUGAUGUCCCAUGGUCUUUGAUUGUUUAGAUCCCUUAAGUUCAUUAGGGGCUGCCAAACGGUGAUACUGUAACUCUUUCAUUUCUUCAUUUGUUCACUGAAAUACAUCUUUUUGUUUUGUUUUGUUUUUUGUUUUUUGUUUUUGUUUUUUCUAGGGCCACUCCCACACCACAGCUCAAGACAACGCUGGAUCCUUAACCCACUGAGCAAGGCCAGGGACCAAACCCGCAACCUCAUCGUUCCUAGUCGGAUUCAUUAACCACUGCACCACGACGGGAACUCUUGAAAUACAUCUUUAAAACAAAAGGAAAAUUACUGCCAUCAACCAUUUUGAUUAUACUAAGUCUAGUUUAUACCGCAAAGGCAGGAUACAUGCUUGAUUCUUUUCCUUGAACUUACCUAUUCUAGAGUAAUGAUUUGCUUCUUAUUUUCCUCCAAAAGUGACCAACUUCAGGAGUUCCUGCUGUGCCUCUGUGGAAACAAACCCUACUAGGAUCCGUAAGGAUGUUGGUUCAAUCCCUGGCCUCACUCAACAGGUUCAGGAUCUGGCAUUGCCGUGAGCUCUGGUAUGGGUCGCAGACACGGCUCGGCUCGGAUCCUGCGUUGCUGUGGCUGUGGUGUAGGCCGGCAGCUACAGCUCAGAUUCAACCCCUAGCCUGGGAACU
rnacentral:lncRNA from 1 species